AUACUUACCUGGCAAGGGAGACACCGUGAUCACCAAGGCGGUUCACCCAGGGCGAGGCUCAGGCCAUUGCACUGCGGCUGUGCUGACCCCUGCGAAUUUCCCAAAUGUGGAAAUCUCGAUUGCAUAAUUUCUGUUAGUGGGGGACUGCGUUCGCGCUCUCCCCUG
ensembl:snRNA U1 U1 spliceosomal RNA